GGGGAAUAUUGCGCAAUGGGGGAAACCCCGACGCAGCAACGCCGCGUGAGCGAUGAAGGUCUUCGGAUUGUAAAGCUCUGUCUUUGGGGACGAUAAUGACGGUACCCAAGGAGGAAGCCACGGCUAACUACGUGCCAGCAGCCGCGGUAAUACGUAGGUGGCAAGCGUUGUCCGGAUUUACUGGGCGUAAAGAGUAUGUAGGCGGAUAUUUAAGUCAGAUGUGAAAUUCCCGGGCUUAACCUGGGCGCUGCAUUUGAUACUGGGUAUCUAGAGUGUGGGAGAGGAAAGUGGAAUUCCUAGUGUAGCGGUGAAAUGCGUAGAGAUUAGGAAGAACACCAGUGGCGAAGGCGGCUUUCUGGACCAUAACUGACGCUGAGAUACGAAAGCGUGGGGAGCAAAC
rnacentral:rRNA from 1 species